GUAGGUGGCAAGCGUUGUCCGGAAUUAUUGGGCGUAAAGCGCGCGCAGGCGGGUCCUUUAAGUCUGAUGUGAAAGCCCACGGGCUCAACCGUGGAGGGUCAUUGGAAACUGGGGGACUUGAGUACAGAAGAGGAAAGCGGAAUUCCAAGUGUAGCGGUGAAAUGCGUAGAGAUUUGGAGGAACACCAGUGGCGAAGGCGGCUUUCUGGUCUGUAACUGACGCUGAGGCGCGAAAGCGUGGGGAGCAAACAGGAUUAGAUACCCUGGUAGUCCACGCCGUAAACGAUGAGUGCUAGGUGUUAGGGGGUUUCCGCCCCUUAGUGCUGCAGCCAACGCAUUAAGCACUCCGCCUGGGGAGUACGGCCGCAAAGGCUG
rnacentral:rRNA from 1 species